rnacentral:rRNA from 1 species
CCUACGGGAGACAGCAGUGAGGAAUAUUGGUCAAUGGACGCAAGCCUGAACCAGCCAAGUAGCGUGAAGGAUGACUGCCCUAUGGGUUGUAAACUUCUUUUAUGAGGGGAUAAACUGAGUCACGUGUGGCUUUUUGCAGGUACCGUAUGAAUAAGGACCGGCUAAAUCCGUGCCAGCAGCCGCGGUAAUACGGAAGGUCCGGGCGUUAUCCGGAUUUAUUGGGGUUAAAGGGAGCGUAGGGCGGCUCUUAAGCGUGUUGUGAAAUGCCGCGGCUCAACCGUAGCACUGCAGUGGAAACUGGCGGUCUUGAGUGCGCUGGAGGUAGGCGGAAUUCGUGGUGUAGCGGUGAAAUGCUUAGAUAUCACGAAGAACUCCGAUUGCGAAGGCAGCUUACCGUAGCGCCACUGACGCUGAAGCACGAAAGCGUGGGUAUCGAACAGGAUUAGAUACCCCAGUAGUC